CGGGACGGGUGAGUAAUGUCUGGGAAACUGCCCGAUGGAGGGGGAUAACUACUGGAAACGGUAGCUAAUACCGCAUAACGUCGCAAGACCAAAGAGGGGGACCUUCGGGCCUCUUGCCAUCGGAUGUGCCCAGAUGGGAUUAGCUAGUAGGUGGGGUAACGGCUCACCUAGGCGACGAUCCCUAGCUGGUCUGAGAGGAUGACCAGCCACACUGGAGCUGAGACACGGUCCAG
rnacentral:rRNA from 1 species